GAAAGUAAGCAAGGGCAGACGGUGGAUGCCUUGGCUCUCGGAGGCGACGAAGGACGUGAUAAGCUGCGAAAAGCCCGGGGGAGGCGCAAAUAGCCGUUGAUCCCGGGAUAUCCGAAUGGGGCAACCCGGCAGGCUGAAGGCCUGUCAUCCCGAAAGGGAGGCGAACGUGGGGAACUGAAACAUCUAAGUACCCAUAGGAGGAGAAAAUAAACAAUGAUUCCGUAAGUAGUGGCGAGCGAACACGGAAGAGCCCAAACCCAUGUCGUCUAGGCGACACGGGGGUUGUAGGACCACGACGUGGCAAGAAGGAAGGGAAAUGGAACGCCUUGGAAAAGUCGGCCAUAGACGGUGAAAGCCCGGUACAUGACUCCCUUACGAAGCCUAGUGGUAUCCUGAGUAGCGCGGGGCACGAGAAAUCUUGCGUGAAGCAGCGGGGCCCAUCCCGUAAGGCUAAAUACUCCCGAGAGACCGAUAGCGAACCAGUACCGUGAGGGAAAGGUGAAAAGAACCCCGAGCAGGGGAGUGAAAUAGACCCUGAACCCGUCUGCCUACAAGCGGUCGGAGCGUCGUAAUGACGUGACGGCGUGCCUUUUGCAUAAUGAACCUACGAGUUACCUUCCCCGGCAAGGUUAAGUUCUUGAGGAACGGAGCCGAAGCGAAAGCGAGUCUGAACAGGGCGCCAAGUCGGGGGGGGUAGACGCGAAACCGAGUGAUCUACCCUUGGCCAGGUUGAAGGUUGGGUAACACCAACUGGAGGACCGGAUGGGUAAGCGUUGAAAAGCUUUCCAAUGAGCUGAGGGUAGGGGUGAAAGGCUAAUCAAACUCGGAGAUAGCUCGUACUCCCCGAAAUGCAUUUAGGUGCAGCCUCUUUAUAGUAUAUCGUGAGGUAGAGCGACUGAUUGGAUGCGAGGGCUUCACCGCCUAUCAAGUCCAGAUAAACUCCGAAUGCGCGAUAUAUAUUUACAGGGAGUGAGGGCGCGGGUGCUAAGGUCCGUGUCCGAGAGGAGAAGAAUCCAGACCACCGGCUAAGGCCCCCAAAUGAUCGUUAAGUUGAACUAACGAGGUCGGAUCGCAGAGACAGCUAGGAUGUUGGCUUGGAAGCAGCCAUUCAUUUAAAGAGUGCGUAACAGCUCACUAGUCGAGCGAUCUGGCGUGGAUAAUAAUCGGGCAUAAACGAUCUGCCGAAGCCGUGGAUGUCGCAAGACAUGGUAGGGGAGCAUUCCAUGCCGCGUCGAAGAUGAGGGAUGACCCUUGUUGGAGCGCAUGGAAAAGCAAAUGUAGGUAUGAGUAACGAUAAGGGGGGCGAGAAACCCCCCCGCCGAAAGACCAAGGUUUCCUGAUCAACGCUAAUCGGAUCAGGGUGAGUCGGGACCUAAGGCAAAGCCGAACGGCGCCGCCGAUGGAAGAAUGGGUUAAUAUUCCCAUACUGCCUCAUGGAGUGACGUGGAGACGGAGAAGUGACAGUCCUGCCGGCUGACGGAAUAGCCGGUUGAAGGGUGUAGAUAUUGAUUCCCGUAGGCAAAUCCGCGGGGAGAGUCGAACCUGAGAGUAUACGGAGCGCUUGCGCAACGUAAUAUGGACGUAACCAUGCUCCCGAGAAAAUCCGCUAAACUUAUCCAUGCGGCACCCGUACCGUAAACGGACACACGUGGUCGGGUUGAGAAUACUGAGGCGCUCGAGUGAUUCACGGUUAAGGAACUAGGCAAAUUGACCCUGUAACUUCGGGAUAAAGGGUCCUCGUCGUAAGGCGAGGCGCAGAGAAUAGGUCCAGGCAACUGUUUAACAAAAACACAUGGCUGUGCUAAAUGGAAACAUGAUGUAUACAGCCUGACACCUGCCCGGUGCCGGAAGGUUAAGAGGAGAUGUCAUCCGCGAGGAGAAGCGUUGAAUUGAAGCCCCGGUAAACGGCGGCCGUAACUAUAACGGUCCUAAGGUAGCGAAAUUCCUUGUCGGGUAAGUUC
rnacentral:rRNA from 1 species